UCGGCUUUGCUCGGGACUUCCCUGUGCUCCUCACCUCCUCGCGAUCCUCCUGGAGGGAGCCGGGGACACAAGCCUUAAGAGUAGCGAGCGCCAGGACGCGGACGCCAGAAGCCCUCCCUCCCACACGGCGCAUGGCAUCGCCUGGCUCCUCGCGGGCUCUGUCCAGCACCAGCUGCACGUGCUGUGGGGCCUUGACGCCCGCUGAUGGUGGAGUUUGAUUCCCUUGAACUGGCUGGACUUAGUGACUAAGGAUGAAAAGAAGAAAAGGACUCUGAGGAGGGAAGGAGCCCUUAUCUGAAGAAACAGGGUGUCACAAAGAGAACACCUACGACAAGGACAUUGAAGGCGGAGAGCCCUGGGAGCCUGAAGAGGGGCAAGAAUGUGGCCAGAGCUGCACCUGCAGGGGUUCGAGUGAGAGGAGAGGAGCCAGAGAGAGAGAUGGAGACGCUGUGCUGCCUUGGACUACACAGGAGGUUGGAAUACACUUCCUGCGUGCUCUAGACUGUACCCAGGGACUGGCUGAUCUCGUGCAGUAGCAUACACAGACCUGAAAAUGAUUAUCAUGAAGGAAGUUUAUUCCUACAGAUCCAUAGGCUCAGGACGCAGGGCACAUGAUUCAGGGUCUCCUGGAGACCAGGAUGGGUCAGGAGGCAGAAGUGGAGGACAAAAUGUGGUUCCGAGCUUUUGUAUUUUGCACAAAGGAAAGGCAAGGCAGGGCAGGGGAGACAGCUUAGGAUUGGCUAGUUUGAAUACUAUUAGCAGGCUUUAGAGCAGGAGGGCUGUCCUGAUUUGUCUGGUCCCAGGAUCUGGGAUGAUCCGCACAGAAUACAGUUUCCUGAAGUGAAAGAGCCAG